rnacentral:rRNA from 1 species
UACGGAGGGUGCAAGCGUUAUCCGGAUUCACUGGGUUUAAAGGGUGCGUAGGUGGGUUGGUAAGUCAGUGGUGAAAUCUCCAAGCUUAACUUGGAAACUGCCAUUGAUACUAUCAAUCUUGAAUACCGUGGAGGUCAGCGGAAUAUGUCAUGUAGCGGUGAAAUGCUUAGAUAUGACAUAGAACACCAAUUGCGAAGGCAGCUGGCUACGCGGAUAUUUGACACUGAUGCACGAAAGCGUGGGGAUCAAACAGGAGUUAG